CCUACGGGCGGCAGCAGUGGGGAAUUUUGGACAAUGGGCGCAAGCCUGAUCCAGCUAUUCCGCGUGUGGGAUGAAGGCGCUCGGGUUGUCAACCACUUUUGUAGAGAACGCAAAGGCCCCUUCGAAUAAGGGGUGUUGCUGACGGUACUCUAAGAAUAAGCACCGGCUAACUACGUGCCAGCAGCCGAGGUAAUACGUAGGGUGCGAGCGUUAAUCGGAAUUACUGGGCGUAAAGGGUGCGCAGGCGGUUGAGUAAGACAGAUGUGAAAUCCCCGAGCUUAACUCGGGAAUGGCAUAUGGGACUGCUGGACUAGAGUGUGUCAGAGGGAGGUGGAAU
rnacentral:rRNA from 1 species